UACGGGGGGUGCGAGCGUUGUCCGGAAUCACUGGGCGUAAAGGGCGCGUAGGUGGCGUCGUAAGUCUGUGGUGAAAGCCCGGAGCUCAACUCCGGGUCUGCCGCGGAUACUGCGAGGCUUGAGUGCUGUAGAGGGGGGUAGAAUGCCGGGUGUAGCGGUGGAAUGCGUAGAGAUCCGGCAGAAGACCGGUGGCGCAAGGCGGCCCCCUGGGCAGUAACUGACACUGGAGGCGCGACAGCGUGGGGGAGCAAACAGG
rnacentral:rRNA from 1 species